rnacentral:rRNA from 1 species
CCUACGGGGGGCAGCAGUGAGGAAUAUUGGUCAAUGGACGAAAGUCUGAACCAGCCAAGUAGCGUGAAGGAUGACUGCCCUAUGGGUUGUAAACUUCUUUUAUAUGGGAAUAAAACGUUCCACGUGUGGGAUUUUGUAUGUACCAUAUGAAUAAGGAUCGGCUAACUCCGUGCCAGCAGCCGCGGUAAUACGGAGGAUCCGAGCGUUAUCCGGAUUUAUUGGGUUUAAAGGGAGCGUAGGUGGACUGUUAAGUCUGUUGUGAAAGUCUGCGGCUCAACCGUAAUAUUGCAGUUGAAACUGGCAGUCUUGAGUACAGUAGAGGUGGGCGGAAUUCGUGGUGUAGCGGUGAAAUGCUUAGAUAUCACGAAGAACUCCGAUUGCGAAGGCAGUUCACUGGACUGCAACUGACGCUGAGGCUCGAAAGCGUGGGUAUCAAACAGGAUUAGAUACCCUUGUAGUC